GACGAACGCUGGCGGCAGGCCUAACACAUGCAAGUCGAGCGGAGCGGCGGACGGGGGAGUAAUGCCUAGGAAUCUGCCAGGUAGUGGGGGAUAACGUUCGGUAACGGGCGCUAAUACCGCAUACUAUCAGAUGAGCCUAGGUCGGAUUAGCUAGUUGUUGGGGUAAAGGCCUACCAAGGCGACGACCCGUAACUGGUCUGAGCUGAGGAUCAGUCACACUGGAACUGAGACACGGUCCAGACUCCUACGGGAGGCAGCAGUGGGUAAUAUUGGGCAAUUGGCGGAAGCCUGAUCCAGCCAUGCCGCGUGUAUGAAGAAGGUCUUCGGAUUGUAAAGUACUUUCAGCGGGGAGGCGUUACCCGCAGAAGAAGCACCGGCUAACUCCGUGCCAGCCGCCGCGGUAAUUC
rnacentral:rRNA from 1 species